rnacentral:rRNA from 1 species
UACAGAGACCUCGAGCGUUAUCCGGAUUUAUUGGGCGUAAAGAGCAUGUAGGCGGAUAUGUUAGUCAGAUGUCAAAUCUUCGAGCUUAACUCGAAAACUGCAUUUGAAACGGCAUAUCUAGAGAAGGUGAGAGACUAAUGGAACAUAUGGUGUAGCAGUAAAAUGCGUUGAUAUCAUAUGGAACACCAAAGGCGAAAGCAUUUAGUUAGUACCUUUCUGACGCUGAGAUGCGAAAGCGUGGGUAGCGAAUGGG